GGGACACGUGGUAUCCUGUCUGAAUAUGGGGGGACCAUCCUCCAAGGCUAAAUACUCCUGACUGACCGAUAGUGAACCAGUACCGUGAGGGAAAGGCGAAAAGAACCCCGGCGAGGGGAGUGAAAAAGAACCUGAAACCGUGUACGUACAAGCAGUGGGAGCACCUUCGGGUGUGACUGCGUACCUUUUGUAUAAUGGGUCAGCGACUUAUAUUCUGUAGCAAGGUUAACCGUAUAGGGGAGCCGCAGGGAAACCGAGUCUUAACUGGGCGUUAAGUUGCAGGGUAUAGACCCGAAACCCGGUGAUCUAGCCAUGGGCAGGUUGAAGGUUGGGUAACACUAACUGGAGGACCGAACCGACUAAUGUUGAAAAAUUAGCGGAUGACUUGUGGCUGGGGGUGAAAGGCCAAUCAAACCGGGAGAUAGCUGGUUCUCCCCGAAAGCUAUUUAGGUAGCGCCUCGUGAAUUCAUCUUCGGGGGUAGAGCACUGUUUCGGCUAGGGGGUCAUCCCGACUUACCAACCCGAUGCAAACUACGAAUACCGAAGAAUGUUAUCACGGGAGACACACGGCGGGUGCUAACGUCCGUCGUGAAGAGGGAAACAACCCAGACCGCCAGCUAAGGUCCCAAAGUCAUGGUUAAGUGGGAAACGAUGUGGGAAGGCACAGACAGCCAGGAUGUUGGCUUAGAAGCAGCCAUCAUUUAAAGAAAGCGUAAUAGCUCACUGGUCGAGUCGGCCUGCGCGGAAGAUGUAACGGGGCUAAACCAUGCACCGAAGCUGCGGCAGCGACACUAUGUGUUGUUGGGUAGGGGAGCGUUCUGUAAGCCUGCGAAGGUGACCUGUGAGGGUUGCUGGAGGUAUCAGAAGUGCGAAUGCUGACAUAAGUAACGAUAAAGCGGGUGAAAAGCCCGCUCGCCGGAAGACCAAGGGUUCCUGUCCAACGUUAAUCGGGGCAGGGUGAGUC
rnacentral:rRNA from 1 species